rnacentral:tRNA from 1 species
UUACUAAUAGGUUAGUUUAAACUGGUAGAUUGUGGUUCUAUUGAGUACUGUUUAGUUGUAUUAGUAAU